GACGAACGCUGGCGGCGUGCUUAACACAUGCAAGUCGAACGGAAAGGCCCUGCUUUUGUGGGGUGCUCGAGUGGCGAACGGGUGAGUAACACGUGAGUAACCUGCCCUUGACUUUGGGAUAACUUCAGGAAACUGGGGCUAAUACCGGAUAGGAGCUCCUGCUGCAUGGUGGGGGUUGGAAAGUUUCGGCGGUUGGGGAUGGACUCGCGGCUUAUCAGCUUGUUGGUGGGGUAGUGGCUUACCAAGGCUUUGACGGGUAGCCGGCCUGGGAGGGUGACCGGCCACAUUGGGACUGCGAUACGGCCCAGACUCCUACGUGAGGCAGCAGUGGGGAAUAUUGCACAGUGGGCGGAAGCCUGAUGCAGCAACGCCGCGUGCGGGAUGACGGCCUUCGGGUUGUAAACCGCUUUCGCCUGUGACGAAGCGUGAGUGACGGUAAUGGGUAAAGAAGCACCGGCUAACUACGUG
rnacentral:rRNA from 1 species